GUUACAAAAGUCAAAGGGGGGGGGGGGGGUAAUCCAGCACAAGCAAGCAGCCAUCAGGUCCUGCAGCCUUUCAGCGCUGGUCACAGACCCGCUUGUCAGACUGGCGGUUCAAAGCGGCGAAGCUGUGGGAUGGGGGUGGGGCGGUUGAGUGCAUAUAUUUAUAUACGUGUGUGUAUGUAAAAGUGUAGGCCUGGAGAGUCGUUGCUCCCGGUAUUCAAAUCUUGGUGCCUCAGUCCGCAAGAUUGCAUUAGCGAUACAUAGCAAAUUGCCAUGGAGACAACCUUGAUUAGGUCCCAGAAAGAGUCAACAAUCAGCACGUGUUUGUGGAAGUGGGGGAAGGAAUGCAAGAGAGUCUCGCUGCAGUGCUCUGCCGGGGGAGUUGUUCCAACAGUGGCCUUGACCGAGGCCAGUGCUGGUUGAGGGGAGCCGAAAGCAGAUAAGAUUGGGAUUGUUUGGUCCUGGAGUGAGUAGACGCAUUCCAAUUUACACAACUACUCUCUUAGUCCAUUCUGGUCUCUCUUUUUUCUUUCCAAAGCCGUGAGCUGCUCCGUGAUGUUAACCAAAGCAGUAUCCAAAGCAGUGAGCUUCGUGAUGUUAUCCAUAUUGCGGUUAUUAGUCCCAGCCUCAGUGCUGACAGCUCUGCCCACUGCAUCAAUCAUGACGGGCAGCCUUGGGAGAUUUUGCACAGCUGUUAGUUUUCUGAUUCUCUAGAUAACCCAGGGCAAUGCCUAAUCCAAUCAGCAGAACUCCUAUUAUCAUGGUUCCGAAUAGGUAGAUAUCUUCAAUGUCCUCCACGGAAAGAGGAGCCAGACACACGACCCGCCACCUCUCCCACACGUCCAUCGUAUAGCCAGCUGCGAACGUUCCGGCAGGUUAGUCAGGUUCCCCCGAACCCAAGCUUGUCGUCAAUAAGAUGGUGUCAAUUGCUUUGAGAGACCAGUUUAUCAAAUCCAUGAUAUUUUGGUUUGGAGAGCAGUGCGGAGAGAGUCUCUCAAAGUAUAAGACAGGAGACGAGACGAAAGAAGCAAAGCAGGGAAAAGAAAAGGGGAGAAGAGGGAGAGAAAAUGCAACCGCCUUUGCAAGAGCCAAGAGAGGAUUUAAGGAUUAAUAGGAAACAUUACAGGCUUUUUUUAAAAUUAUAGUUUAUUAUAAUUGUUCUCUCUCUCUCUCUCCAAAAUAAAAUGCAUUUUAAAUUAAACUGUUAUGUUUUUCUGUCUACAGGCUCCUUCAUCUCCCAGUCUGAGGUACUGAAUAGUGCUGCAGCUAAAGAGAUUCAUUUACAUUUACAUUUACGGCAUUUAGCAGACACCCUUAUCCAGAGUGACUUACAAUGAGCAACUGAGGGUUAAGGGCCUUGCUCAGGGGCCCAGCAGUGGCAGCUUGGUGGACCUGGGGUUUCAAACACACACACACCAAUAACACAUUUUUGCUUAAUAUCACAAUAUAUUACCUAAAUCUAUGAUGUUUAAUUCUAUUUUUUUCUACUACUAAUUCUACUUCUAAUUACAUCAAUAAUAAUAAUCUUUUACUUUCCCAGUAUGCUGUUCCUGCACCAGCUCAGAAGCCGCUGACAAUCUACAUGUUGGAGUCAGCUGAUCUGGACGAACAAUGUCAAGCAGAUUGCUGCUGUGCUUCGGGCGAGGGAAGCUGACCAGGACAUGCAUUUUCCUUCACUCAAGAAGAGGAAGAGAAAACAUCCAAUAUUUUCUAUAAACUGUUUAUAUUGUGUAUAUAUUGUAUUUGUUAAUUUGUAUGUAAUGUUUUACCAUUAAAAACUCUGAAUUAAAAUGACUGUUUAUUUAAUAGUAAUAAUUGUAUAAGGGAUAAUUUUUUAUUUUUGUAAUGGGAAGUGUUGAGAAGGAGUGUGAGUGUAAAAAUAUAUAACUCGAUCUAACUACCUGCAUCUAAUUGUAUUAAAAUCAGACUUUAUAGCACAUAAUCAAUUAAGCCUAAGUGCCUUAGCUGUAGUAGAUAAGCUAAUCAAAAUGAAAUAAUCACUCUGAGAAAAGGAGAGUAGGUGGGAGACGAGGAGGCAUAAGGGGAAGUUGCCUAAAAUGGUGAAGAUGCCAGGAAUGCUUGGAAGCCUGGGAUGACAUAGAACUACUUUAUAUAGAAGCAAUAAGAUGAUAAGGCGUAGGACAAAUAAUC